rnacentral:rRNA from 1 species
ACAAGCGGUGGAUGAUGUGGUUUAAUUCGAUGCAACGCGAAAACCUUACCACCUUUGACAUGGCAGGAAUCCCGAAGAGAUUUGGGAGUGCUCGCAAGAGAACCGGAACACAGGUGCUGCAUGGCUGUCGUCAGCUCGUGUCGUGAGAUGUUGGGUUAAGUCCCGCAACGAGCGCAACCCUUGUCAUUAGUUGCCAUCAUUUGGUUGGGCACUCUAAUGAGACUGCCGGUGACAAACCGGAGGAAGGUGGGGAUGACGUCAAGUCCUCAUGGCCCUUAUAGGUGGGGCUACACACGUCAUACAAUGGCUGGUACAGAGGGUUGCCAACCCGCGAGGGGGAGCUAAUCCCAUAAAACCAGUCGUAGUCCGGAUCGCAGUCUGCAACUCGACUGCGUGAAGUCGGAAUCGCUAGUAAUCGCGGAUCAGAAUGUCGCGGUGAAUACGUUCCCGGGUCUU